rnacentral:rRNA from 1 species
UACAGAGGGUGCGAGCGUUGUUCGGAAUUAUUGGGUGUAAAGCGCUUGUAGGCGGCCUGUCAAGUCGCGUGUGAAAUCCCCUGGCUCAACCAGGGAAGUGCGCGCGAAACUGGCGGGCUUGAGUGCCGGAGAGGGUCGCGGAAUUCCCGGUGUAGAGGUGAAAUGCGCAGAUAUCGGGAGGAACACCAAUGGCGAAGGCAGCUCGCUGGGACGGUACUGACGCUGAGGCGCGAAAGCGUGGGGAGCAAACAGG